rnacentral:lncRNA from 1 species
AUAAAAGCUGUUUUUCACAUUUCAUGCUUAACAUAGUAGCUUGCUUAAAAAUGUACUCCCACAAGCCAAUGUUUUUCAGCAGUAAUGUGUUUCUGCUAUUGCCUAACAUUAGGAAGUUGAUAUAAAAAGUGUUUUUCUUCCUUGGAAUAUUCGGCUACUAGAACAAAGACGAUGACCGUAUCAGCACCUGUCUCAUCCCGCUCAAUGGGAUUAGAGGGAGGUGAAUAUUUUUCUAUCUCCUGAGUCACACCUUCUGUAGUCAGCAGGGGUCACUACAAUGAUGGAGUCAUCUAAGACUCAGUGGAAAAAUAGACAUAAAUUUAUUGAGAGCUUUCUUAACAACGACUAACAAGAAAUACUUGGAGUGUGUUUAUAUUGAUAGAAUAUUCAGAGCAGAAGCUGCAGAGGAGGAUAAAUGGCAUGAGAAAGCAAGGCUGAGAACUAAGGACAUCCCCAGUAGAAAAAAACAAAGUCAGGUAGGAGUGGAGGAGGAAGGAAAAAGUGUGACCCAUGAUUUUCCUUGCCGGGGAAAUGAAUACUACUAAAAACACAAGCCCAAGUGUAGAAUUCAGUAAAAUUAGCAGCUUUCUUCCACAACUUUUCUGAUACACUGCUGAUGUAUUUAUGCUGGUAAGCUUGUUGUGUAGUGAGUCCAAUAGUCUUCAAGAGAUUAUAGACAUUCUUCUGCCUUUGUUUCCAUUGGUAAACAUUAGACAUAAGACUACUGUUUGUUUCAUUACAAAAAUCUAAAUGAUCAGCUUUUCAAUUCUUCAGUUAUAAAUUACUUCUAGAAAGCUUUCUAAUUUCAAAGGAAAGUAUAAUAAGAAGAUUUUUAAGGUCACAGAGUCAAGGAAAAUCUCUUGGCUUGAGACCUAGAGGAGAAUAAAUGUUCUUACUGUAAAAAUUGAAGUCUACCU